GAUGAACGCUGGCGGCGUGCCUAAUACAUGCAAGUCGAGCGAACAGAUAAGGAGCUUGCUCCUUUGACGUUAGCGGCGGACGGGUGAGUAACACGUGGGUAACCUACCCAUCAGACUGGGAUAACUUCGGGAAACCGGAGCUAAUACCGGAUAAUAUUUCGAACCGCAUGGUUCGAUAGUGAAAGAUGGUUUUGCUAUCACUUAUAGAUGGACCCGCGCCGUAUUAGCUAGUUGGUAAGGUAACGGCUUACCAAGGCGACGAUACGUAGCCGACCUGAGAGGGUGAUCGGCCACACUGGAACUGAGACACGGACCAGACGCCUACGGGAGGCAGCAGUAGGGAAUCUUCCGCAAUGGGCGAAAGCCUGACGGAGCAACGCCGCGUGAGUGAUGAAGGUCUUCGGAGCGUAAAACUCUGUUAUGAGGGAAGAACAUACGUGUAAGUAACUGUGCACGUCUUGACGGUACCUAAUCAGAAAGCCACGGCUAACUACGUG
rnacentral:rRNA from 1 species